CCCCUAGAUGUUCUGGGCCGCACGCGCGCUACACUGAACAGUUCAACAAGUCUUAACCUUGGCCGAUAGGUCUGGGUAAUCUUUGAACGCUGUUCGUGAUUGGGAUAGACCUUUGCAAUUAUGGGUCUUCAACGAGGAAUUCCUAGUAAACGCGAGUCAUCAGCUUGCAUUGAUUACGUCCCUGCCCUUUGUACACACCGCCCGUCGCACCUACCGAUUGAAUGGUCCGGUGAAAUCUCGGGACGGCGGCUUGGUCGCUUGCGUCCGACUGCUGAAACUUGAUUAAACCAUAUCAUUUAGAGGAAGGUGAANUCGUAACA
rnacentral:rRNA from 1 species